rnacentral:ncRNA from 1 species
UCGCUUCCACCGCAAACCCGGCGAAAGCCGGUGACGCAAAGCUACAGGGGCUAAGGGGCAGUGUCCCACGCCAGCCAGCUGCCGGU